AACUUUCAACAACGGAUCUCUUGGUUCUCGCAUCGAUGAAGAACGCAGCGAAAUGC
rnacentral:rRNA from 1 species